GGCUUGCGGUCGCUCAACUUCUCUCUUUAGCUGAGCAAUGGGCCUGGGUCAGGGGCUUUCUUGAUUGGGGACCGGGUUUGUGAGGGUAAGGUGGGGAGUCUCCCUGUUCCAUUCAAUCCCCAGAAACGGGCCUGCCGACUUAGCCUAUGGCUUGCGGCAAAGGACAGUCUUCAGACUUGGGAGAGAGCCUGACUCCGUCCUUGGCCUGCCUGCUGGGCUACAUGGUUUCUCUGUGACCUUGCUUUAGAAUUUGAGCAAUUUCGAUGUCAUCUAGAGAGGGUCUGUUUUAAAUCCCCCUAUUUUAGACCCUUACCAAUCACGUCAAAUUCCUUUAUUUUUAUCAUGCAUAUCUAAGGUAAUAAAGCUGCCCAUACAUUCAAAGCCACUAUUACCCAUACUUAUUCAUUCAAAGGACCUGUCCUUAUUGGGAAACCUUAAAUAUUACUGCACUUAAUGGCGCCUGUACAACAUAUAAGACGUAGUUCAUAAAAUACAGAUUUACAGACAUGGCAAGAAUGUUUUAGGCAACACAUGUAGCAUGAGUUUCAUAGAGCCUGUUACAUAAAAUUACUCUUAAGCAAUGAUAUUGGACUCAGAGAUAUACCCACUGUCCUUCCAUUAUUUAACAUACAGUAUAUAAUAAAAUGGCAGGCCUGGCAUUAUUCUUCCUUACAUGUAUGAAUAUGGGAUGGGGGUUAGGAUGGGGACAGAAAAGACAGUUUUUUAAAUCACUAGACAUUUAAGUAAUCAUUCUUACCACCAUCUGGUACAGUAGGCCUAGCCCACUUUUUCUGAGCUGUCUGAGGCCAAAAACCAAAACAAAACCAAAAAAUAAAAACAAUAAAAUGGGUGUGCCGAGGUUUCUAAAGAACUAAUAGGGACAAUUUGCCUAAGUCAUUUUUGGAGUAAUGUUAAUAAAUACUCCCUGGAUAUUGUCUUUAACAAUAUAGUGUAUAAUAUCUUCUCUGCCCCGUCCUCGCCCUCAUGCGUUAGAACUGAACGUUCCUACAUUUAGCAGAAACUCUGACUCAGGACUCUGCACCCUACACUCUUGUGAGUUGGAUGGACCACACUUUUGAAACUCCCUGCCUCAAAACAUCAUGGAAUAAGAAAGCUUAGAACUGUUGAAAAAAUACCUAUGAAGGGCCCUAUCCUUGCUUGUGAGAUCUUUUUGAGAGUCUGAAUGCCCUAAACUCUGUACAAAAAGGAAAGAGUGUAUGCGCUUAGACACAAAAAUGGGUACGGUACUUUCCAAGAUUUUUCUUAGAGUCAGUUGCUUCUGCCUUUAGACAUCCACAUGGGUAGUUUUCAUUGGCUCAAUCCUGGUGUUUUACCUGUGACUUAUCCUACCUUUGGAUAUAUACCUUGAACACCUCGUCUCUAAACAUCAUCUGUAAGGAAGAUGGUACUGAGUUCCAAGGCAAACUGAGUAGUUUUAUCAUCACUACCACUAUCCACUUAAAGUACAAAUGCCUUCUUCCUCCCUUCCAUUAGGAGGAUGAAAUCUUGUUGCUGUGUUGGGCCCACCAAGAUAAUGAACUUCUCCCCAUCUCAAGAUCAGUUGAUAACAACGUUAAUCGGCCUUCAUCUUAAUUCUUUGUUGUUCUGUGAUAGAACAUAUUUGUAGGUUUUGGACAUUAGAACAGAGACUUCCAUUAGAGGUGGUAUGCUACAUGUGGAGCCCAAAUUUUUCUACCAAUAGACUUCUGUUAUGCUACUUGAGUACACAUUAGCUCUUUUAGAAAACAUGAAUUUACAGGGUUGUUUUUAUCAUCUUCAUGUAUGAUAAGGAGUUUCUCCACGAGAUGGAUAGAAAUAGUACUUUAAUAAAACUAAGCUGCUUUUUGGAUAAUCAGAGACCGAAUGAUUUUGGCACAUUUAGUGAACCCAUUUCUCUUUGACAUACUAAUGUAGGAUUUUAAAAUCUGUAAAUUUGGAAGUACUCUGUUUAGUUUUCCCUAAAGGGAAUUCGUUGGCUGCCUUUGAAGCUGUGGCAUGGGCUGUGUGCUUACCACUUCUUAGAAUCUUUUAUUGACUUCCAAUGAUCUAAAACUUCAGUAUUAUUGCUGUUUAUUUGUGGAAAACUACAAAAAUUGAGAGAAAUGAAACCUUGUAGCUGGAUUGUAAGUGAGCGAAUCAAUGCUCUGUGUUUAUGUUUAACAAAUCCCUUUCAGUUUUUCAACUGAAGUGUUUAUUGAGAAAGCAGUGCUACUUGUCUCUUGCCUGAUUUCAUAAAGGAACAAAUGUCUAUCAGGUGGUGGGCAUGUGAUAGCCUACUUACAGAGGGUGAUCUCCUGACCAGAAGACAUUCUCAGAAUUCUGUCACAUGGCCCAUUCAGUCACGCAGUUACAUUUAGUUCUGUACAUGAAUUGUUUGACACCCUUUUUCAGUAUUUAUAGACUACUUGGGAGGGAUUAACAUUGAAGAUGGGAUUUCAGUGGUAUAUCAGUGAGCCCUGGGAAGUAAGUCCAUGAUGAGGCAAGGAGUACGUAGAGGAAGAAGUGUCAGUCCUUCAGGCUGAAGGCACAACAGGGACUCCAGAAGCUACAUGUGUUGGUUACAGAAUGACACAGCAUUGCAAUUUCUCUGUUGUAAUGCUUUUAGAAAAGAUAGAGGAUUUGGAUUACAUUUUUAUAUAUUUAUCCUUUUAUUUGGGUAGGGAUAGGAGUGCCACAGCAUGUAUUGGAGGUCAGAGGACAACUUGUGAGAUUCUGUUCUCUUCUGGUUGGGUUCCAGGGACUAAACUCAGGCCAUCAUUCUUGGCUAAAAGCUCCUUUACCUGUUGAGCCGUCUCAUCAGCCCAGGGCUUGGAUUUUAUAAGGCAUUAAGCAUUACCCCAGGCAUCAAGGCAGAACAUUGCUGGUGUUUUGCACUCACCUCUACUCAUUCUAUUCAUGUACACUGCUAGAAUUCUAAAAUGUUUUCCAAAAACUUAUAUGUUGGAAACUAAAAUGGAAAUCCACUUGAUAAUGGUAUUUCGGGUAGAGUCUCUGGGAAGGUUAGAAUUAGGUGAAACCAGAAGAGUAGUGCCUCUACGAUGUGUAUCGUUAAUGUCUUAAAAAGAGGAAGUCAAACCCAAACCCAAGCUAGCAUACUUGGUUACUAUUAUACCCUUUGUGUUGUAUUGGGCAAAACUGACCCAUGAACCAAUUACUGAUUCGGUAAUAAUUGGAUUUACUUUGAUUAAAAAGUCACCAACUUUGAGCUCUUUCUUGUUCACUAAAAGCAUACAAAUGAGCUUUGGUGGGAAACGAUUAUGAAUCAGAAAGGAUUGUGUUAAAACAGGGUCCAAAAAGACCACUGUACUCCUGAAGUCAUAGCCCAAUCUAGGUCAGGCCAGUCAGCAUUCCAGUCUGAGUGGGGGUCACUCAGUUACUAUUGUUAGUUGAUGGCUGUUAGGUGAGCAGAAUCCUUUAGGGUUUAGUUCUUGGUAGGUUGACCUCAAUCCAUUGGAUGGCCCCAUACCAAGUAGUAUAUGGACAGCACAAUUGGACUCCAUGGGUGAAAAGAGAAGUGCCUGAGGUUAGGAGUGGAUAGAGAGUGAGGGGAGGAUUACCAAGGAAUUAAGAGGGAGGAGUAGGAGGUGACUAUAUUGGAAAUAUGUUUUAUGCAUGUAUAAAAUUGUCAAAAAAUUUAAUACAAAAUACAUUUUUAAAAUGAGCUUUGGAUAGCAAAAACAGUUGGGAAGUGGGUUCAGAAGUAAUAAUAUUCAUUGAGAGCUUCCCUUACACUGUACAGUCUUCCCAAUAAUUAACAUCUCUGUCCAGGGAAUAUGCUCUAGCGAUAACCAAUUUCAACUUGUGUGCCUGGCACCAACACUAUCAUACAGCAGAGUGGCUCUGGCAGGCUGACAUUUCAGUCACUUUGUUUAUCCUGAGUUAACAUUUGUGCCUUUUGUAUGUAUUGGGAGUGAGACAUAUAAACUACAUUGUGUAAUAGUACUUUGGUAACAGUCCUGAGGUAAUGAUGAUUUAACUUGCUUUUGGAAAAAUGCAACUUUAUACUGCAGGAGCAGUAGCAGAAUUACUCAGCAUAGUUUGGAAAUGUUUAUGUCUUGCUUGGCAGGUUAAUUUUCCUUCUACCUUUCUCCAUCCCUUCUCGACACUUUCAACACCCUAACACUAGAUAGGAGAGAAAAAGAAGAUAGAGGAAAGGAAAGAGAUCUCUGAGCAAAAUCAGGAAUCAGGAAUUGGAAAGGGUAUGACAUUGUUAGAGUACUUAGAGUUAGAAGUAAUUAACGGUGUUCAAUUUCCUUGGGGCAAGUUUGAUCUUCACCAUCAAGAUAUCUAAUCUUCUUCAUGUUUUUUUUCUUCUUUGUGCAGCUACUACUUAUCAAACCAUGGCCAACACCAGCCAACAACCCACCUGCCUCUCAGGACCCUAGCAUUUAUUCCAUCCCAGCCAGUGGAAGCUCUUCUAAAGCCUUCGGAGUAUUCAGUGUGAGGACAUACUUCUACUGUAUGAAACUGUGUAACCCUUUCUAGCAGCCUUCUUUAAAAUGUGCAUUGGCUACUUUGCAAACAUGUGUGAAACAGUCAGGCUGGUGAUGGAGGCAGGAGGGUGAAGGACGGAGUUUGAGGCCAGCCUGAAGUACAUAGUGAAAUUCUCUCUCAACACAAGGCCCUGGGUUCAGUUUCUCCUACCCAGCGAUGGCGCCAGGGCAUCAACAGAUUGUCUACAGGAAAUGGGCUGUAUUGAUGACCCUGGGGUAGGCAGUAUGUGUACUGUGGCUGGUUAUCUGUCACUGCAUAGGAACUUUCUUCCAUUACAGAAACUUCUAGGCCAGCAAAUAUCCAAGCAGUCUUGUAGGGGGAUUUACUGGCACUGGUUUUGAGAGGGGCACAUGUCUUUGAAAACUGACACAAAUCUACCCCCCACACACCUUUUUCAGAAAAAAAAAAUACAUAUUUGCAAAAUUUUGUAUUUCAAAGGAACUUGGAUCCGACCCACAAUUUACUGUUUGCAGGAUCACCUUGGCUAUUUUCUAUAGAGUAUUUCUGCUACUUUGCAUACCUACCAAAUAAAUCUGAGAACAAGAAAGAUGAUUUUAAUAUAGAAAUUUCAGCUAGAAAUAAAUGGCUAAUUGAUCCACGUACAUAGGUGACUCCAGUAUAGCCAGUAAUUGGAAGUCUUGACUCAGAUCCUGGUGUGGGUUAAGGUCACUCAUGCAUUUAGGAUCAUGAGACCAUCUGUCCCUAAACAUAAACAUUUCACCUCUGCUUUCUUUUGCUCAGACUCUUUCCUCAAGUGGAAAAACUUUCCUCAUCAUUUAAAUGCGUUUCUCCCAAGUCUUUCCAUAUAAUUGAGAGAAUCCAAAUGGGAAAUAGUAGAUUCUAAAAGGUAAUUGGAGGAGAAUUUAGUGUGUGACAUUUUUGCGAAUUCAGGGUGCCAUUUAGAGCAAGGUACUGUCCCCACUGUCUAGAGCAGUGGUUAUCAACCCUUUUGGUUGAGACUCCUUUGGGGGUUGAACAAAUCUUUCACAGGGGUUGCCAGAGACCACCGGAAAACACAGAUAUUUACAUUAUGAUUUAUAACAGUAGCAAAAUUACAAUUAUGAAGUAGCAAUUAACAAUAUUUUUAUGGUUGGAGUCACCACAACAUAAGGAAUACAUUAAAGGGCACAGCAUUGACCUGAAGGGAGCCAGCUGGGAAGAUCUCUGACAUGUUGUGUCCCACCGUAAAGGAUGUAGUGACCCCUCAGAAAGCAGAGAGCUGGGGAAGAAGCACCCUGAAUUCACUCUUCUCUCCCUUCAGUCCUGACUGUACUGCCCACAGGCUGAGCUCAGCUGAAGACCAUAUGCAGGGAAGCCAGUUGAUGGAACCCACUCAGUGUAGUGUGCAGAGAGACAAGUGGAAGACAGCCCCAUGUCACUGGCUUCUUCCCUUCAGCUGCUCCACUGUGUUUCUUCCACCAUUUUAAUAUUUGAACUAGUAGCCAUCGUAUGACAUAUGUAUAAGAGUUUCCACGCUAAAGAGUAGAAUAAUUAAAAUACAAUGUCUACACUAGGAGAAGCCACGUGUAGCUCAGCUCCUGAUGAUGUGUCUGUAGAACUGUAAGGUAGACAAGGUUUCCCCUCUGCAAACCUUGAACUGAAGAUGUCUGUCAGAUAAUCGUUAAUGUUAAAAGACGCACAUCUGUCUUCUAUGAAAAUACCAAUCCUCUGUCAGAGAAACAGCUAGCAAAGAUUCUUUCUCUGCGCUUCCUCCUCACUUGGUGACUGUUUCUUCAGCUUUUUAGUUUUCUGAGGUCCUGUUUGUCAAUUGUUGACCUUAAAUCCUGGGCAAAUGGUUUCCAGUCAGGAAGCCCAUCCUUACACCUGUAUCAUGUAGGGCACUGCCUAUAUUUUCUUUCACAGUUUGUAUUUCAGGUUUUACAGUUAGCUCUUUGAUCCAUUUGGAGUUAGUCUUUGUCCAGAGUGUUAGAUGUGGGUUUAGUUUCAUAUGGACAUCUGGUUUUCCCAGCACCACUUGUUGGAGAUGUUUGUCUUUUCUCUAGCUUAUGUUUUUGGCACCUUUGUCAGAUAUGAAAUGUCUGGAAUUACAUGUGGCCAUGUGUCGGUCUUCAGCAUUGGCCUGUCUUUUUGUGCUGUUACACUUUUUAUUACUAUGGCUCUGAAAUAUAUACCCAGAUCUGGAAAUGGCAGUCCCUCCAGCAUUGUUGUUUAUGCUCAGGAUUACUUUAUCCAUCGGGGGUCUUUUGUGGUUCCAUAUGAAUUUUAGGAUUGUUUUUCUAUUUCUGUGUAAAAUGAGAUGGAGAAAUCUCAGUCAGAUGAUUGGUGUUGUAUUGAAUCUGUAAAUCUGUUGUGGUAAAAUGGUCAUUUUUACAAUAUUAAUUCUGCCAAUCCAUGAGUGGGAUGUCUUUCCAUUUUUUAGGUCUUUAUCUCUUUUUUAGUGGUUUAAAGUUUUCAUUGUAGAGGUCCUUUAUUUACUUGGUUAGGUUUAUUUCUGUUUUAGUUUCCUUGAGGCUGUUGUGAAUGGGAGUGUGUCAGUGACCUUUUUCUCUGUAUGUUGGUGGUAUAUAGCAAAGCUAUGGAUUUGUGCAAGCUGAUUCCAUAUCCUGCCACAUUGCUGGAUUUAUCAUUUCUACAAGUUUUCUGGUAGAAGUUUGGGGAUCUCUAAUGUAUAGUCUCAUGGCCUCUGCAGAUAGGGAUGGUUUGACUCCUUCUUUCCUAUUCGUAUUCCUUUUAUUUCCGUCCUUUGCCUUAUUGCUCCAGCCACCACUUCAAGUAUAUUAUUUAAUAGAAGUGGGGGUACACCCUGUCUCACUCUGGACUUAAGUAGAAUGGCUUCAAACUUGUUUCUGUUUAUGAUGAUAUCGGCUGUGGGUUUCUCAUAUAUAGCCUUUUUUAUGCUGAGUUAUAUUCCCUCUAGUCUUAAAUUCUCUUAAUAAUUUUGUUCUGAAGGCACGUUGGAGUUUGUCAACCGAUUCGUCUUUGUCUAUUAAGUCCAUUCAUGUGGUUUAUUCCAUUCAUUGACUCGCAUAUAUUGGGGCAUCCCGGCAUUUCAGGGAUAAAGCCGACUUUGUUAUAGCGAAUGGUCUUUUUUAAUAUAUGUUUUCUUUCUGUUUGUAAGUAUCUUAUCAACCAUUUUUAAUCUCUUUUUAUCAGGGAUAUUGAUUUAGCGUUUUCUUUUUGUUGCUGUGUCUUUACCGGGUUUUGAUAUUAGAAUGACCUGACUUUAACAGGAGUUUGAGAGUGCGCCUUCUGUUGCUGAUUUUUUAAAUAGUUAAGAAGAACUGGCUGCAGAUCUUUGAGUGGUUGGUAGAAUUCUUCUGUAAAUUCAUCUGGCUCUGACUUAACUUUAUUAUUAUUACUAUUAUUACUAUUAUUAUUAUUAUUAUUAUUAUUAUUAUUAUUAUUCCAAUCUCCUCAUUUGACUUUUUGGUGGUUCAGCUGAGUCCAGAAAUUUAUUCAUUUAAGGUUUUUCUGUUUACUAGAGUACAGAUUUUUAAAGUAUCCGCUUAGAAUAUUCAGAAAAAAUUCCAUUUAAAAUAUAUAUAAUCUCUUUGAGGUCAAAACUCUGGUUUUGCCUAGGUCCAUUCCAUGAGCAUUUGUCAAACUCCGAAUUUGGCUUUAGCCCUGGUAACACUGAAGGUAAAACAUUUGUCAGUGAUUUUAAUGAGAGGCACAGCAUUGAGAUGAAAUAGAGCAGAUACAGGGAUUAAUGUAGCUUAGCUGAGUGACUAUGGCUGGAGGAGGGGAGAGUUUAGGCUGGGAAGGUGAAAGACACCUGUGACUCCAUCUCUCAUUACUCCAGGAAGGAAUUGUGAUGGUCUAGAAUACCAGAGUAUUUCAGUGCACUUGGGCAACUAUGUGGAUACCCUGGAAUCCAUAUUCUAAGUGCCUAUCAAAAGUAUGCUGCCUGUCAAUAGUAGAUAGUUGGAACUUAGUCCUCUCAGAGCCCAUCAUAAUGACUUUGUAUGCAUUACCUCAUUUCUUUAUAAAGAUGUGCAUUGUGGUUCUAUAGAAGAGGAAGCUGAAAUACAAAAUAAUAAUAACACAACUUACAGAUAAUGGAGCUGUAAUUUGACCCAGAUAGUUUAGUCUUACAGUUAUAUAUAUACUUAUUAAAUAAGAAAAUGCACACAUAGUAUCUGGCCAAAUAACCAUAGAGAUUUAUAACCCUAAGUAGAUCUCUCCCCGUCUUCCACUUCUCCAGUCAUCUUCCUUACAAGCCAAGGGUUUUGACUCUCAGCUUUCUUCUGGCAUUAGCCAAUCCUCUUGCUUGCAUUUUAGACAUUGUCUGGAUGAUUUCUGGUCACUAGAGUUCUUGUCUUUCAGUACUUGGCGUAUUUAUUUUGUAUACUCAUUAUUUCAUAGACACUGCUUGUACUAAACAUAUACUGUGUCUCAGAGAACUAGGAUCCAUCCCAUAUUUUAAAAGCUUUUUACCCUUAUUUUUCAUCUCCUUAGAAAUUGCUGUCCUGUACAAUGUUUCUACUCCACAAAUGGAAUCUCAGUCAAUCAGCUGAUGUUUCAGUUGACUUCAGUUUUUCAUUUCUGUAAAUCCCAAGACAAAUAGGAUGAGCCUAACUUCUAAGUUCCCUCUAGAGAGGAGAGUCUGAUAUGCUGUUGAAUGGGAUGGGGUUGGUCGUUACCUAGCCCCUGGCUGAGACACCUGGCCACUCACCCCCAACCCAACCCCACCCCCGUUUACCUCACUCUUCCCUGACUUAGGAUGCAGCUUUGUAGGGUCUUUUUAGUUUAUUUAGUUUGGGCAACUGUUACUUUUCUACUUCCAAAGUUGUGUGCCAUUGUUCUCCACUUUCUGAUUGGUUUCUGUUUUAAAAAUGAAAAAUCGAGGAUGUUUCUCCCUCAGUGUUAGAUAAGUUUGGUGGCAAGAAGUGAAAUUCCAUAAAUUUAUUCCAAAACUUACUAGAAUUGAAUAGCUGUUGUCAUUUUAGGUGUGUUAUUUUACCCUUUGCCCAUAUGCAAACAGUAGGUAGCAACUAGAUAUCAUGUAUCAUCUUUAGAAUGUUUGUUAGCAUGCCAGGCAAGACCUAUGAUCUCUCAGUAAUUCUACUAGCACCUCAGCAAAAUAGCAUGGAGCAAAGAAAGCCUGCAAGCAGUCCUCUAAAGAGACACUGAAAUUGCCUUGAUUCACUGCUGCAGUGUUGCGAUUCUGUGGCCUGGUGCAGGGUUUAAGUCACCUGUCCUUUGUUCUGCUGUAUUCCAUUCAGCCUGCAGAUGGCAGGAUUGCUUUAUUUGUAUAGCAGUUUUAAAGCUGUAUUUUAUCAGAGUUCCUGCUUUGGAGCUGAGAGUACUGGGCAGUUUACUUUUGUCUUUGCCUAUUCAUUUCAUGGUUUUUGUGUGCUUAGGUUACAGUUCAGUGCCACUUGGCUGUACUGUAUGUCCUUAAUUACUUUCCUUAUUGUAAUGAGCUUAGAUCUAUUUCACACUAAUACCAUGAAGCAGUUCGUUGUGCAUUUGUAUUUUAAGAGUUUGUUUAUAUUAAUUUCUCUGUUAAUCCACUGACCUUUUAGAAUGCUUAUAAAUGUUAGGAACUUAAAUCUGCAAUAUAAUUGAUUUGCUGAAAUAUGAGUUUUGUUGCCAGGAUAAAAAUUUACAUUAGAGAAAAAAAUUAGAGUCAGAUUAUCAUGCCACAUAUAAAAUUAAAAUCAGAAUUUUGCUGUAGGGAAAACGACAGAAUAGAUUUAAAAGAAUUAUAGAAAUUACUUGAAUUUGGUGAUAAACUGUUCAUACAGUUCAUAUUGUAUAUCAAGCAACAGCAUCCCAAAAUCAUUUAUUGUGUUGUUCUUAUGAGACAGACAGUAAAAUUGUUGUAAUGGUUUAUGAGACAUUUACUCUUAAAGUUAAUGUUUCAAAAUAAAAUACUAAAAUCCCACAAUGCUGUGGUCGUCUUAUUUUGAAUGUUCUGUAAUUUCUGUGUAUUGGAGCACUUGCCAAGCAGUUUGGAAUAAUCUAACUGCUUUGUAAAAAUGAACAAGCAAUGAGCUACUACAAAAGGUUAAGUUCUAGCAAAAUGCAAAUAUUAUUUUAUGUCAACUCGUCUAACUAGUUGAGCAUAUUUCCUCUGCUCUCACGCACAGUUAGGAGUGGAUAUGAGUAGGAAAUAGUGGGUAGCCAUCACAGCCUUCUGGCUGUACAGCAGUGGAGUGCACUUAUCACGGGCAUGAAGAGGGUCUGUGAGUACUGUCUACGCAGAUGAAAAGCUUGGCACAGCUAAUCCCAACCAGGGGCUAAAGAAGCAGGCACUCCUCAAGCAUGGAUAGCAGCCACAAAGGGUGGGUAGACUUGAUUCGGAAAGCCUGGUUUAUGAUUGUAUACUUUCUUUAUCAAGAAAAAAUACAUCUGGGAAAGAAGUGUACAAUAUUCCCAUCCUCAGAGGAACUAUUAGGAUGAAGCUUGUCUCUUGUUAAUAUGUUAGUGCUCAUGAUUUGAAAUGGCAUUUCUAGCAGGAGGUCUGUGGAGUGAUCAGAGCAUACGGCACAUCUCACUCUCUGUAAUAAGGCAGCCCAAUCACUCAAGAGAGCACACUGGGUAAUGGCAACGUCCAAUAUAUCUUUGUUUGGGUUUUGUCACCUUCAUGGAGAGUAAAGAUAGUGAUCUACUGCAGGGUUUUUGCAUUUUAUUGUCAUCAUUCGGGAAGGCAAUUCUAAUUCACCCAUAAAGGGUGACUGUGUGGAGAGUGGUUAUGAGUUGUUUUACGUUUAAAAUAAAAAUUUUGGAGUUCUUAGGUUAUUCUUUGGAAUAUAGUGCUUAAUAAAUGCAGACAUUUCAUAAUAUAGUCUUUGAUGUCAGGAGUAUUGGAAAUGUGACGGUCUCUUGGGGGACAGAUUAUCAUAGGAAAUUAAUAGUGUGAGUUGUACGAUGGCAUCUGAACAAAAUGUAAAAAUACAGGAGAGUCUCUUUUGAGAGAACUGAUUUAAAAUUUGUCACAAAUCGAGAUCUGAUUGUGGGAGCACAGUGUCCUUUUAUUUCACCUCUCUGAAGUGGAAUUCUAUUUGGCAGAUUAAUAUAUGUAUGAUCAUGACACAUCUUUCCCAUAAUGCCAGGCUUGAGCUUUUUAAUAAGAGCAAUGUACUGAGACUUUAAAAAGCUGUGCUUUUACAGUGAAGCUUGCUUCUUACCUGUUGAGUAAGAGUUUGCUGCCUUCUUAUAUUUCCAAGCACAUUUGUCUCUUGUAUAUUGAGAUGGUCGUGUCAUUUCCACUUAUCUAGAAUCCUAAUUCUUUUAAUGCACAAAGAUUUGUUUGACUAAGGAAAAAAAAAGACUUAGAGCUGUUUUAUAGUUGUAAUUUACAUAUCAACUUGAGUUCAGUUUUGAAUUAAAUGAAAUUAUUGGCGAUAGUCGCCUGAGGUGCGGUCGCCAGGUCCCCGCACCUCCCAGGGCCGCGGCGGCGGCGUUCCCCUCGGAGGCCACAGCUCACGGGCCGCCGCGAUGGCCCUCAAGAUGGUCAAGGGCAGUAUCGACCGCAUGUUCGACAAGAACCUGCAGGAUCUGGUCCGCAGCAUCCGCAACCACAAGGAGGACGAGGUGAGCCGGCGCGGAGUGGGGUUGCCCGGCUUUUCCCCACAGCCUAUAGCCUCUGGCCCGCCUUGGAGCAGCCUCCUCGACCCCAUCGCCAUUCCGGCCCUGCCUGUUUAGGAGCUGCGGCUCUGCACAACCUCUCCUUCCCCUGGCCUCUGUUUACCCCCACCAGCUUGAAAUGGAUGCUGUCCAAAACGGCUCAGGUGCCUCGUCUGUUAUAACUAGGGUCCACUCCCGGAGCCUCCCAAAUGUCCACUUGGAGCAGUCGCUGUCAUAAGACCUAAGCGUCUUAGGCCUUACAGUUGGGUGCACUGCUUGAGCCUGAGUUUACCUUCUUGGAGAAGAUUUACUUAGGCAAAGGUUCUCCCACUUGGGCUUGUUUCUGGAUCACAUAUGGAGGAAUCGGGACCCUCACAGAAAAAUCAAGUCAUAGGUCUACGUGUCUCCCAUGGAGAAAUUCCCUUGUCCGGGGACAUAGGUCCAGGUUGCUGUCUUGGGCUUACUUGGGAACUUGCCAGGUGUCCCUGCCUCAGAUCCCCUGAACUAUCAGUGUUUGCAGGACCUAGGGGCGUGUUGGAAUGGAGAAGCCUGACUUUAAAACUGGAAGCUCAAAAAAGGCAAAAGUCAGGGUGUGGAAGCGAUUUUUUUUCCAGAAGUUAGGCUGUGACCACAAGCAUUACUUCCUUUCCUCCCCACAGUCUGUGACCUAGAUUAAGGAAGAAGUGAUAGAGUGGCUGCCCAGUGCCUGGCUCAGUGGAAAGACAGGCUUCCUCCGGGGCAGGAAGGCCAUGCUGAAAGAGGGUGUCCAUGACAGGUACCUGCUGGCCCCUGCUUGCUAUGUGAGGUCAGGAAGCAGGUCCCUGGCUGGGACAGUCAGCCCUCUGUAGCCCUCUCCCUUCUACCCUACCUGGUCUGGUUUGUACCCUCCCUGCUCUCCCUGGCUGUUACUUCAGGUGAAAUAGCUGGUUGGCCAGUGUGUGGUUGGCCUGUGCGUGGACUGCCCUAUGUGAAAUUUCCUUUGUACUCUUCUGUGGCCCUCUGUGCUCUCGAGGGCCUCCAGGUUUCCCUCUUGUCAGUGUCCCCAGGGAGCUGUCUUGGGACCCUGAGACCGGUCACAUUCUAAUUUGAGUACCUGAAACAAGCUCUAGCCAGGGACAUAGCCUGGGCUGGCUGGAAGCUCAUGAUACUCCUGCCUUGUCCUUCUUCCUGCCGGGAUUACUGAUUUUGAGGUGUGUGUGUUUUGCUCUUCAUAUUCCCUACCCUGCCAUACAUGCAAGGCUCAGUAGUGCAGACUAGGUGGGCACAGAAAGCCCUCCAGGCCCUCAGGUUCUAUGUGGCUUCUGCUGCUGGGUGCUAAGAUUUUGGUUGUGAGUCAACCUUUAACAGCUGAACCAUCUCUCCCAACCAACAUGGCUGGCCAGUCUGAGGUUGCUUGGGUCCUCUGUCCCUCUUCAGGGACCAUCUUUAAGUUCCUGUGCGUGUUAUCCGGCUCAUUGCGGACUGCAGGUACUCUCCUUUGGAGGUGCUGAUGUAGUGCAUUGCCUUCUGGCCAAGCUUGUAGCACAAGUCAUGCAGUGACCAUUCUCUGCUCUACACUCUGGUUGACAUAGGUCUCACUGUAUAACCCUGGCGGUUAUAACUCUCCUGCCUUACAAGUACUUAAAAUGCUGGUAUGUGCACUUGGAAGUUUUGUGGGAUUUUAGUUUUGUUUUGAGGUGAUCUUUUUUGUUUUUUGUUUUUUUUAAAUCAAGACAGGGUUUCUCUGUGUAGCCCUGGCUAUCCUGGAACUCACUCUGUAGACCAGGCUGGCUUUGAAUUCACAGAGAUCUGCCUGCCUCUAGAGUGCUGGCAUCAAAGGCAUAUGCCACCAUGCCCAGCUUGAGAUGAUUUUUUUUAAUAUUUAUUUUAUGUAUGUGAAUCCACUGUCACUGUCUCAGACACCAGAAGAGGGCAUCACUGCAUCCCAUUACAGAUGGCUGUGAGCCACUGUGUGGUUGCUGGGAAUUGAACUCAGGACCUCAGGAGAGAAGACAGUGCUCUUAACCACUGAUCCAUCUCUGUAGCCUGAGAUGAUCUUUGUAUUUAAAAAAAAAAAAAAUUAUUGCCAGGUGUGGUGGCGAUAGCUAUGGAUGGAGAGCCUCAAGUGGAUGCAGGGAAUUAAACCCGGGUCCCCUAGAAGAGCAGCAAGUCCUUGUCUGCUCUAUCUCUGCAGCCCUUUCGAGAUGGUUUUACUCUAACUUCGGGGGGGGGGUGCUACAACUCACUCUAGAUUAGGCUGGUCUUGAACUCACACUCACCUGUCUCUACUUCCCCAAUGCUGGAUUGUUGGUGUACAGUAACAUGCCCAAUGAAUUUUUUGUCUUACUAAUGUAUCUGUGUGUGUGUGUGUGUGUGUGUGUGUGUGUGUGUGUGUGUGUGUCUGUGUGUGUGUGUGUCUGUGUGUGUCUGUGUGUCUAUUUUAAUACUUAUUUAUUUAUCUUAUGUAUGUGAGUACACUGUUUGUUGCUCUCUUUGGACACACCGGAAAAUGGCAUCCCAUUACAGAUAGUUGUGAGCCACCAUGUGGUUGCUGGGAUUUGAACUCAGGAUCUCUGGAAGAACAGUCAGUGCUCUUAACCACUGAGCCAUCUCUCCAGCCGGGUAAUAUACAUAUAUAUAUAUAUAUAUAUAUAUAUAUAUAUGAUUUUUUUUCUUUCCCUUAUGUGUAUAUGUGUAUCUGUCUGUCUUGUGUAGAGGCAUCUGCAGAACCAGAUGAGGUCUUUGGAUCUCCUGGAGCUGGAGUUAGAGGUGUUGUGAACCACUGGACAUGGGUGCUGUGAACCCAAUUUAGGUCCUCUGCAAGAGCAGCAAGCGCUGUUAACUGCUGUACCAUCGCUCUGUCUUGUCCCACCAAAGUAUCCUUCCCACUCCCCUUCCCCCGCUCCAAAGCCACAGCUUUCAUGAGUGUUUACGUAGCAGGCAUGAGACCCCAUGUCUGUUAGGUACCUUGCAGAAAGCUAAAGACUGAAAGCAAAACACUGUAUCUGUGCUGCAGGGGGCACCCCUAGUGCCUCUGCCCUCUGCCAGGUCUUCAGGAACCUGAUUGUGUUUACCCAGGCAUCUUGACCUGUAGGGUAUCCUGGCAGCAGCCCCUGUGUGGUGUGAUCAGCCCAGCCUAGUUGUUCCUGAAACUCUGCCGUGGAUUUUAAAAUCAUGAGGAUUUUAGCUGAUUCCCUUUGAUGGGUAGCUCCAAGGGUCAGGUGGAGACUACUUGUUCCAGUGGCAGUGUCUGUAAGAGGUAGGAGUUAGAGAUUCCCAGGGGACACUCCUUUCCCAUGUUGGUACUUCUCUACUGCCUGGCUCGUUGAAGUUUCUAGGGACUUUCAACCAGAAAUGGCAUCUCAUUAAGAACUGAUGGUAACAUCCCAGGUGGGUCUGUCAGACUUGUAUUUACCCUUGCUCAGGAAGGAGGUAGACUGACUCCACUCAUCUGUGACUUGUGUGCCAGAGACCACCAUUGUGUGCUAGCCAGGGACCAUGCUUCAUUCAGCCUCAUAGCCUGGGCUUGCUGGACUUGCUACCACCAGAUCUAUCUUGCUUCUGUCUAGCCACCAACGAGAUUUUCCCAGUUAAAGCUCAGGCAUAUGCAGCUCUGUCUCAGGGUGAGCGGCUGGUCUCCUUUCUGGGUUGGACUCCUGCUUGUGAAGUACUAGCCAGGCUCUUUGAGAGGCUGGGAGCUCCCAGCUGUCCCUGGGGCUUGGGACCUGAGGCGACCUAACCUGUACCCCAGGCUGCUUGUGUCCUUUGCCAUGACCAUUCUUUGCCCUGCUUAUCCUGUGCUCAGCACAAAUGACUUGUGCUCUCUUAUUUUUUAUUUUAAUUUUUUGCUUUUAGACAGUCAUGCUGUGUUGCCCAGGUUGGCCUUUUUGUACUGGCUGGUCUGUACCAAUUUUAGGUAUAUUCUUUGCCCCUGAGCCACCUCCUACCCUCACCCCCUCAUUGGGGGGUUCUGGGCAGGGGCUGCACCCCUGAGUCCCACUCCAACCCUCUUUUUACUUUUCACUUUGAGGGUUAGGCAAAGUUGCUCAGGCUGGCCUUUGAACUCAAGAUCCUCCUGCCUCAACUUCUUAGAUCCUGUUCUCUCUGCUCCACUUACUUGCCUAUGCAGAGGCUUCAGCUCCUUUUUCUAUUGGGUGUUAGUCUCCCUGUCCUGCUCUCUGAGUCCAGACUGGGACUGGCUCCAUUUAGUCUCCAGAAUUCCCCGCAUUUUCCAGGUUCCCCAGACAUCCACAUUGACUUACCUGUCUUGUAGCUUCUUCUGGUUUCUCUGCUACAGCCAUACGAUCCCCAGCCCCUGGCUCAUUCUUGCUUUGACUUUGGGUGAUGUGAAGUGACUUUUGUUCACCAGAGGUACCCAUGUGCUAAUUGUGAGACCUGUGGACUUGUGUCCUUAAGUGGCAGAAGGGACUGACUGUGCAGACGGGGGUCACACUGAGGACCCUGAGCUGGGCAUCCAUCGUCUGGAUCACCUGGACCCAUUCUCACCAUCAGGUCCUCUAGGGAAGCUGGAAGGGGAAGAGGUGGAGCCAGGGAGACUGCUGCUGUGUGUCUAGGGGAAGAAGGAGCCAGGAACUAAGGAUGAGGCUUCUGGAUGUUGGGGCAAGCAGGAUGGGGUGCUCCCUGGAACCUCAGGACACUAGCCUUGUCACAAUUAGACUGUAGCCCAGUGAGGCUCAUAAGGCCCCCGCCCUGUGGGGAUAUGUGCACAUGGGCCAGUUCCUGUGUGUCUCUU